CUUCAGCUCAUUGAGCUGGUGUGGGUGCUGUCCCUUUUUCACCUGGUACUGCAGUGUUUACAUUGCAGCCUUAAGUCUGCCCUCAGUGGUCUACCAGAUUGCCACUGGGGACGCUUCCGGAAUCUUAACAGACUUUUGGUCUGUUGUCUGAUGCUGAACCUCCUCAUGCUUUGCAUUAAGACCUUCAGUGUCAGAACUAUUUAUUUUUUUCCCCCUAUGGAGAUUGACAUCGGC